UACGUAGGGCGCAAGCGUUGUCCGGAAUUAUUGGGCGUAAAGAGCUCGUAGGUGGCUUGUCACGUCGGGUGUGAAAGCUUGGGGCUUAACUCCAGGUCUGCAUUCGAUACGGGCUGGCUAGAGGUAGGUAGGGGAGAACGGAAUUCCUGGUGUAGCGGUGAAAUGCGCAGAUAUCAGGAGGAACACCGGUGGCGAAGGCGGGUCUCUGGGCCGUUACUGACGCUGAGGAGCGAAAGCGUGGGGAGCGAACAGG
rnacentral:rRNA from 1 species